UACAGGGGGUGCAAACGUUGCUCGGAAUCAUUGGGCGUAAAGCGCACGUAGGCGGUUCGUUAUGUCGGAUGUGAAAGCCCUUGGCUUAACCGAGGAAGUGCAUCCGAAACUGGCGAGCUAGAGUACUAAAGAGGAUCGCGGAAUUCCCGGUGUAGAGGUGAAAUUCGUAGAUAUCGGGAGGAACACCGGUGGCGAAGGCGGCUCUCUGGACCGACACUGACGCUGAGGCGCGAAAGCGUGGGGAGCAAACAGG
rnacentral:rRNA from 1 species